GGUCUCGUGGUGUAGCGGUUAACAUGCCUGCCUGUCACGCAGGAGAUCGCGGGUUCGAUUCCCGUCGAGACCG
rfam:Anaerobacillus macyae strain DSM 16346 scaffold10, whole genome shotgun sequence.